UUUUCGGAUCGUAAAACUCUGUUGUUAAAGAGACAAGUGUUAGAGUAACUGUUAACACUUUGACGGUAUUUAACCAGAAAGCCACGGCUAACUACGUGCCAGCAGCCGCGGUAAUACGUAGGUGGCAAGCGUUGUCCGGAUUUAUUGGGCGUAAAGCGAGCGCAGGCGGUUUUGUAAGUCUGCUGUGAAAGCCCUCAGCUCAACUGAGGAAGUGCAGUGGAAACUACAAAACUUGAGUACAGAAGAGGAAAGUGGAACUCCAUGUGUAGCGGUGAAAUGCGUAGAUAUAUGGAAGAACACCAGUGGCGAAGGCGGCUUUCUGGUCUGUUACUGACGCUGAGGCUCGAAAGCAUGGGUAGCGAACAGGAUUAGAUACCCUGGUAGUCCAUGCCGUAAACGAUGAAUACUAGGUGUUGGAGGGUUUCCGCCCUUCAGUGCCGCAGCUAACGCAUUAAGUAUUCCGCCUGGGGAGUACGACCGCAAGGUUGAAACUCAAAGGAAUUGACGGGGGCCCGCACAAGUGGUGGAGCAUGUGGUUUAAUUCGAUGCUACGCGAAGAACCUUACCAGCUCUUGACAUCUUCUGCCAACCCAAGAGAUUGGGCGUUCCCUUCGGGGACAGAAUGACAGGUGGUGCAUGGUUGUCGUCAGCUCGUGUCGUGAGAUGUUGGGUUAAGUCCCGCAACGAGCGCAACCCUUAUUAUUAGUUGCCAGCAUUUAGUUGGGCACUCUAGUGAGACUGCCGGUGAUAAACCGGAGGAAGGUGGGGACGACGUCAAAUCAUCAUGCCCCUUAUGAGCUGGGCUACACACGUGCUACAAUGGAUGGUACAACGAGUCGCGAAACCGCGAGGUCAAGCUAAUCUCUUAAAGCCAUUCUCAGUUCGGAUUGCAGGCUGCAACUCGCCUGCAUGAAGUUGGAAUCACUAGUAAUCGUGGAUCAGCAUGCCACGGUGAAUACGUUCCCGGGCCUUGUACACACCGCCCGUCACACCAUGAGAGUUUGUAACACCCAAAGACGA
rnacentral:rRNA from 2 species